CGCACCUUGCGCUCCUUGGUAUUCCGAGGAGCAUGCCUGUUUGAGUGUCUUGAAGUCAUCAACCCUGCACGUUUCUCACGUGACGGGUUGGAGCUGGGGGCCUUGCCGCCGUUGAUGGCGGCUCCCCUCAAAUGUGUCGGUUUGUGGCCUGUGGGUCGGACUCGACUGGGCGUUGUAACCAUCCUCGCUCGACACCGAGUCGCACCCGCCUCUGAGCGCCCGAACCAGAGACCUGCCGUCCUCGGGAAGUGGCGGUCAAUACAUAAUUGAAAUCUGACCUCAAAUCAGGUAGGACUACCCGCUGAACUUAA
rnacentral:misc_RNA from 1 species